rnacentral:rRNA from 1 species
UACGAAGGGGGGCUAGCGUUGCUCGGAAUCACUGGGCGUAAAGCGCACGUAAGCGGAUCUUUAAGUCAGGGGUGAAAUCCCAAGGCUCAACCUUGGAACUGCCUUUGAUACUGGGGAUCUCGAGUCCGGAAGAGGUUGGUGGAACUGCGAGUGUAGAGGUGAAAUUCGUAGAUAUUCGCAAGAACACCAGUGGCGAAGGCGGCCAACUGGUCCGGUACUGGACGCUGAGGUGCGAAAGCGUGGGGAGCAAACAGG